ensembl:lncRNA
UUCCAGGUGCUUUCCCUCACCAUGGAGUGGAGUGCUUUUCAUUUUCAUUACUGGAAAUACUGGCUCUUCAAUCAGAUGCUUUUUUAAGUAGUAUUCUCUGGGUUUUUGCAUUAUGUUCCUCUUUGGGCACUUAAGUGAUUUUAUAAAGGCACUGAGCAGCCGUAGAUUGCUUUGAAGUUGCUGACAAUUUGAAUAGUUGGCACCUCAGGAGAACCUGAGAAGUUUGGUGCAUCAGCUCAUGUCCCCAUGUUUUAAAACCAUGGCCUUUGCAUUGACUGACUUUGAGACAGGUGAAGUUGAUAAAAGUGAAGGAGUAUAAAAAAGCUAAGUGCAGCAGAGGAUUAGAAAAGGAGGGAAGAUAACGAGAAGAGAGAUCGUGGCCUAGAUUAAAAGGCAGAAUUUCAUUGAGAUGUUUUCCUUAUGUCAAGACUUCCUUUUUAUUGCCCUUUUUUCUUUAUACAGAGUUGCUCUGAAAAGGCUGCAUCCUGACUCUCCCACAUCCCUGUAUUUUAUCUUGGUCAACGAUGUACAUCCUUGUAAAAAAGCCUGAUCCGUACUACUGCAAAUGAGGAGGAACUCCAGCAAAGUCAAUGAAGUGAUCCCCCUGCAAAAAUGAUGAGAGGCACAGCAGAAGCAGGCAUGCUCAAUCCACAACCUUCUUCCCCAAGUUCUACAACAAAUGCUCCAUUCUGGAAUAGCAAGUAGGUGUCAGAUGAAAACACAAAACAAUGACAACAGUGCAUUUUUCAGUAGCCACAUCAUAUUAUGUCAUUGAUGUCAUGUUGAGUUAUAUUAGUCUGCUUUUCAUUAUGUUGUGUUAUGCCUUUUGACAUAAUGCAACACACUGUAAGUAACAUAAAGUGACCUCCAAGUAUAAAAGAGAACACAGUUUUUGUCAGAUUAGAUAGUGGCUAUGAAUUCUCUGAGAGGGAGGGGGAAGUAAGAAAAGGAGAGAAGAAGGUUUGGAUUCAGUGUCCUGAACAACAAAUCCACAGAACUUAAUUAACACUUCCAGCAGCCCUGGUUGUUCAGAUAGGUCUGUGUGUCUCUGCUCAACACAGAGAAAAGAUUCUCAGCUGGACUUGUGCUGCUUAAUUUAUUUAAGAUUUUGCAAAGGUAUCUGUAAUAGCUUCUUCCUUUCAGUGCCUGAAAUGUAGAAGCUCCACACAGCAUGAAGACUUUCCUGAGAUUUCUUGUUUUGCCAGCCUCCAUAAUGCAAUAAUCGGACCAAGCUUAGCAGAUGGACUUUCUGAGCUGCACCCUGUAACCUGUACUCUAUAACAGGAAUUUAAUCAGCUGCUUAAAAAACCACUUGGCAAAGGAAAAGGGAAUCAUCUUGGCUCUGAAAGGGGAGCUCCUCAUUAAUUUAAGGUAAUAAUGGGAAAGUGUGUGGUUUACAAGAAGUUGCUAAUAUUCUCUAGAAGGCUUGAAAUCUACCUCAUCUUGGUAGGUCCUGGUAGCUUAGCUUGAAAAAGCUGGUGUUCUUGCCCUAGUGCUUACUGAGCAGCAUGAGGGGUACUGACCAAUGGUUGGCACACUUGCCAAAGCUG